rnacentral:lncRNA from 1 species
UGGUUUAAACUCAUUAAUCUGCAAAUACAACUAAUUAACUCUGUUCUGUUCAAGGAAAAACAAACCCCACUCAUCCUCUUGCUUUAUUGGAUGCCAGAAAGUGUAUGUUUAAGGAUCAAUGGAUCUUGCCAAUAGAAAGAAUGCUCUCUAUCAUCACAUGAUCUGCUCAGCUUCUUAUGAAGUCUAAAUUGAAAAUCUAAAAAGUGCAAGCACAGAGGAUGCAAAGCUGACAGACUAAAUGUCACAAAAAGCAAAUG